GAGCACGACACAGCAUGUCGCGCGCUCACUGCCAAUCAAGUGCCGCUCGGUUGGCCACAAAGGUGCUCUUCUAUCGUUGUGUGAAGCGGAUAGUUCAUGAUGGCUCCGGUGUGUUGGUAUAAUUGAAGUGACGGAAGCCCGGCAAGGUGUGGUGGCCACGUUCUUGCACGAUGUAAACAGCUCGACCAGGUCGAGCUCCAGUGCACCGGAUACCGUUGACGAAGACGGCCGUACGUGGUUUUGCCACUCGACAUUCUUCCACGAGUUACGCUAGUUAAUGGCGCGACGCCUCUUCUCGAUGUCGUAGUCAAUGGAUCGUUCGCUAUUGCUCAUCGACUUCGUCAUUCUUCAGACUCUUCAUAUUCUUCUAUCUUCAUUUUCCUAUAUUUUUCGCUGUCACAUAUGUUUAGGUGUUUUUGAUAAGUUUUGUUGAAUCUCUUUAAUUGAAUUAUUUAUCGAAGAUUACUUUUACGCGAAGCUUUUAUUAGUGGCCAUAUGAAAGAUUGGUGACAACACAGUGAUACGAAAAAGUGAACGUAAACGCUAAAGGACAGAUAAGACAAAGAGCGACGCUCAACGACUGUCUCCGUCUAAAAGAUGUAGCGUCGUUUCGUCGAAAACGUAGAAUAAUCAACGUGGAGUGAUUAAAUCGAGAGACUGCUAAGUACAUUAAAUUGACGUAACAACGCGAAGCAUCGGUCUCUGAGGUGUGAUUACACUUGCGGUAACAAUUUGCGAUAUCAGACUGCGUUAGUUGAAUACAUUGGAUUAGCUGUACUCCGUGAAUCGAUGGAAGAUGUAUCGUUACGCGAUACGGUUCAAGUGCAUCGUCGAGGAAAACAAACAGGGAAAUCAUAUCUGCUACCAAUAAGAGAAAAGUUCUAAUCUUUCAAUUUCUCCUAGCUUAUAUAGUGUAAGGUAACAUUCAUAGCGUAAUAGACUUACAGUGUGAAAGUAGACACGCACGGAGAUCGUAAUGUGGUUGUUGGUUGAUUAAUUACUAAUCGCGUUCUAAAUUGAGUUCGUACGAGCUAUCGUUGAUUAAAGAAGCUUGUUUAAAUACUGUUCCUACCCUCGUAUCGCGGUAACGAAUGUGUUUUUCACGUGUGGACUGCUCAUUAACCAGUUCACGAAGUCUGCAACUCAGAGACAACACAGGCGAUACACUGAUCAACUGGUCACCUCUGCGGUACAACUAGAUUGAUUGCACCGAAACUCUGGUUCCAGGCCAUUUCAGCUGACCAUCGAACGUCUGGCGAUUAAAAGUGCUCACGUGUAAAACCGCGUGGUUUGUCACGAGACGACGAUCGAACGCGAGGAAACAAAGGACAGGAGGUCGUUUACUGGCGCAGCGACUCGUGAAAAAGAUUUCUCUUUGUCCUAUGAGUCAGGCGAAUCGUAGAAUCUGAAGAGGCGUCUCGAUGUUGCUCUCGAACCUGGGCUGGAUGAAAGAGUAUGUUCAUCGAUCGACUCGGAGACCUUCGAUAAAAUCUUCUUCCGCGAGACGUCCUUACCUCUCUCUUGGCCUUAUCGCUUGAAACGCAGCUCUAGAGAUAGUCCAGGUCGACCUGUCGUCGGCUCGUGAGUACACGACGCGCAAUAAAAUCGCUGCAUGCAAAUCCACGCCGCUGCUAGUCUUCGUGGGAUCGUUUCGUGAAUAUUCAACAGGACUCGGUGAAACGGGCCAUUGAUUGAACAAAGAACUUCCGUGUGGAAAGUGACGAACGGUAUCGCGACGAUGAGGAACGACUUAACGGGGAACCUUUCGGCCCGGCCUUAUUAUUUCGCAUGACGCCGCAUACAGUUCGAUCGCGUCAUCAUGAACCUUGUUUUCGCCAGCCUGUCCCAGUACCGGUGAAUACCGGUGAAUUGUUUCGGGAUACUCGUUGAUCUACUGUCGCUACUGUGGAACAUCGCCGGUGCUUGAUGAGAUGAGCUUGUUGCGAUUCGGGCCUUUUAAAGAUGGUACGUCGAAUAAAUGGGAGAUGGGAUAAUCGAGAAACCAUAAAAUGGAAUCCCCGUUGAUAGAGGCAGCUCCGCUGUACAUCGAGCUUGCCAACGCAAAAAUACGUGAUGUGCAUAAAGGAUCAAAUAAAACGGAAAGCUGGUUAUCGCUGGAAAUGUAUAUAAAUGUACGGAAAUGUAUAAUGCAGUAUCGCAUUCCGGAAUUUCUGAUGCGAAUGUCCAUUACGUUGUUAUCUCAAGGAUCAUCUUGAUUACGAUAUAAAAAUGAAACGAUCCGAUUCUAGUUUACUGAUUUACUAAAUAAUGUCCUUGCCAUCAGUUAAAAGCUGAUAUCUUUUAGAUCUUAAAAAAGAUGGAAUCUCAUUUAGUUUCUGUAGGUAUCGAUUGGAAGACAAUGUUGCAAUUGUCCUUUAUCCUUUUAUCCUUAGAACAGAAAGAUCGAUUGGAUCAUUUUAAUCCAUUGACGAGUCGAUCGAAGGUAUUAUUCUUGUUAAAGAAUUUAAUUAUUGAACAAUUUUUUAACAUCGGUUGAUUCGAAUUAUUCCAAAUAUACUUAGGAUCCAUUUAUUUUCAUAUUUCAAACGAAACAAUUUAUUAGAGAAUAUGCGAUGAAUAUAGAGAUAUAAUAAAAAUAAUGAUGAAGAAAGGAUUAUAUCUAAGAGAUUGAGAAUUAUAUCAUUUUCCUCGGUUAAUACAUUAAAGAUUUCAUUUAAAGAUUCGCCUAAACUUAUGAACCAGAAGUAUCUAUAUUUUAACCAAUUUUAUUUUGCUCCUAUAAUAUUAAUUUUCCUUUUAAGUUUUUCAUAUUUCCUGAAAUCUACAAUAACUCAAAGCUUUGAUCAAUAAAUACAAAUAACUGGAA